UCUCUUUCUCUCUCUCGCUCGCUCGCGUUUGUAUCCAUCAGCGACCCCUUGUUCCACAGACGCUACAAGCGCCUCUCUGAUUUCCUCACGCUCUAUAUACUAUAACCAGAGAUGCAGAGCCUCAGAAACUCUCUACUCAACUAUUUUCUUCUUCAGACCCCCUUGAUCUGCAAAUCAGAUGCGCUCUGUCUCUUGUUUUUGAGCUAUUCUUCAAACCCUAUUCUACAGACAUCGAUCUGGAAAACAGUUGCUCUCUCGCUCUCGCUUUUGAGCAAUUCUUCAAACCCUUUUCUUCAGACCUCGUUUUACAGAUGCUCAAUCUGUGCGUCUAUUUUAUUCUCCCUUCUUUCCUCUAAUUUUGUAAACAAAGAUGAAGAGCUUCAUAUACUCUCCUCUUUCCUAUGACCUCUUCAGUCCAUCUCGAUCUACAAAACAUGUUCGCUUAUUCAGAUCUGUCCUAGCUUUUGCUGGGCCCUAGAGACGGUGGCGGUGAUUCAAUGAUUCCGGUUCAUCGUUGAUAUUUUCGCUAUCUUCUCUCGUCGGGUUACACAGUAGGAUCUUUGAGUUGGAUGCUGAAGUCGUCGGUGGAGGGGGAUGAAGCACUUGUUGUCAAUGAUAGAUUCUGGUGACCCCAUCCGGUCCGUGUCAAGGUGAAUUGCAGUUCCUUUUGGGUGAAGGCCCGUUGUAGGGUUGGACUUGGUGUUGUGGCACGGGAUACUGAUCGAUCUGUGGUUUUUACUGAGUCUGAAGUUGGGGUGGCCACAUCGGCAACUGAUGCGGCGGCAAAAGCGUGCCUAAUGGGUUUGCGUCUGGGCGCAGAACGUCUUGCUGGCCGUCCGUAUGUGCUCGAGUCCGACUUUUUCCGUUUGCCCUUCUCGACAUUUGAAGGUUUUGGCACUUCCCUGGUACCUUCAGUGGCUGGGUAAAAACCACAGAUCGAUCAGUAUCCCGUGCCACAUUGGUCCUAGAACACAAUGUUCCGAAACAUUUGGUCCGGGUUUUCCGGCUAUUGGUCCUAGAACACAAAUUUUCCAGAAUUUCAGCUUACACUUGCUUUUUCCGGCUAUUGGUCCUAAAACACAAAUUUUCCAGAAUUUCAGCUUACA